AUACGGAGGGUGCAAGCGUUAAUCGGAAUUACUGGGCGUAAAGGGCGCGUAGGCGGUCUAUCAAGUCAGGUGUGAAAUCCCACGGCUCAACCGUGGAGGUGCAUCUGAAACUGAUAGACUUGAGUAUGGGAGAGGAAAGUGGAAUUCCCGGUGUAGAGGUGAAAUUCGUAGAUAUCGGGAGGAACACCAGUGGCGAAGGCGACUUUCUGGACCAAUACUGACGCUGAGGCGCGAAAGCGUGGGGAGCAAACAGGAGUAGAAACCCUAGUAGUCC
rnacentral:rRNA from 1 species